rnacentral:rRNA from 1 species
UACGUAGGGCGCAAGCGUUAUCCGGAAUUAUUGGGCGUAAAGAGCUCGUAGGCGGUUUGUCGCGUCUGCCGUGAAAGCCCGGGGCUUAACUCCGGGUCUGCAUUCGAUACGGGCAGGCUAGAGUUCGGUAGGGGAGAUCGGAAUUCCUGGUGUAGCGGUGAAAUGCGCAGAUAUCAGGAGGAACACCGGUGGCGAAGGCGGAUCUCUGGGCCGAUACUGACGCUGAGGAGCGAAAGCGUGGGGAGCGAACAGG